rnacentral:rRNA from 1 species
CGGUCGAGCGGUAGCACAGAGAGCUUGCUCUCGGGUGACGAGCGGCGGACGGGUGAGUAAUGUCUGGGAAACUGCCUGAUGGAGGGGGAUAACUACUGGAAACGGUAGCUAAUACCGCAUAAUGUCGCAAGACCAAAGUGGGGGACCUUCGGGCCUCAUGCCAUCAGAUGUGCCCAGAUGGGAUUAGCUAGUAGGUGGGGUAACGGCUCACCUAGGCGACGAUCCCUAGCUGGUCUGAGAGGAUGACCAGCCACACUGGAACUGAGACACGGUCCAGACUCCUACGGGAGGCAGCAGUGGGGAAUAUUGCACAAUGGGCGCAAGCCUGAUGCAGCCAUGCCGCGUGUGUGAAGAAGGCCUUCGGGUUGUAAAGCACUUUCAGCGGGGAGGAAGGCGGUGAGGUUAAUAACCUUGUCGAUUGACGUUACCCGCAGAAGAAGCACCGGCUAACUCCGUGCCAGCAGCCGCGGUAAUACGGAGGGUGCAAGCGUUAAUCGGAAUUACUGGGCGUAAAGCGCACGCAGGCGGUCUGUCAAGUCGGAUGUGAAAUCCCCGGGCUCAACCUGGGAACUGCAUUCGAAACUGGCAGGCUAGAGUCUUGUAGAGGGGGGUAGAAUUCCAGGUGUAGCGGUGAAAUGCGUAGAGAUCUGGAGGAAUACCGGUGGCGAAGGCGGCCCCCUGGACAAAGACUGACGCUCAGGUGCGAAAGCGUGGGGGAGCAAACAGGAUUAGAUACCCUGGUAGUCCACGCCGUAAACGAUGUCGAUUUGGAGGUUGUGCCCUUUGAGGCGUGGCUUCCGGAGCUAACGCGUUAAAUCGACCGCCUGGGGAGUACGGCCGCAAGGUUAAAACUCAAAUGAAUUGACGGGGGCCCGCACAAGCGGUGGAGCAUGUGGUUUAAUUCGAUGCAACGCGAAGAACCUUACCUGGUCUUGACAUCCACAGAACUUAGCAGAGAUGCUUUGGUGCCUUCGGGAACUGUGAGACAGGUGCUGCAUGGCUGUCGUCAGCUCGUGUUGUGAAAUGUUGGGUUAAGUCCCGCAACGAGCGCAACCCUUAUCCUUUGUUGCCAGCGGUCCGGCCGGGAACUCAAAGGAGACUGCCAGUGAUAAACUGGAGGAAGGUGGGGAUGACGUCAAGUCAUCAUGGCCCUUACGACCAGGGCUACACACGUGCUACAAUGGCAUAUACAAAGAGAAGCGACCUCGCGAGAGCAAGCGGACCUCAUAAAGUAUGUCGUAGUCCGGAUUGGAGUCUGCAACUCGACUCCAUGAAGUCGGAAUCGCUAGUAAUCGUAGAUCAGAAUGCUACGGUGAAUACGUUCCCGGGCCUUGUACACACCGCCCGUCACACCAUGGGAGUGGGUUGCAAAAGAAGUAGGUAGCUUAACCUUCGGGAGGGCGCUUAC